GAUCACACUUAGUAUCGUUGUUCUCAACAACCACCUGCACUCUUACUCCAGUAUUCCUAUACUAUAGAUUCAAGAUUCAUCUAUCCAAAGAAAAUGAUCUGUGCACUAGUCUGGUCAGAUCAAUCAUCAUCCUCGUGAUGAUCAUUGAUUAGAAAUAAUUUAGAAAUUAAUCUAAUAAUGACACAUGUCUUAAAUUCUCAACUCUUGAGAAUAUG
rnacentral:lncRNA from 1 species